GACAGAGGUGCCGAGCGUUAGGCGGAAUCACUGGGCUUAAAGCGUGUGUAGGCGGGGCGUUAAGUGUCUUGUGAAAUCCCACGGCUCACCCGUGGAACUGCUGGACAUACUGGCGCUCUUGAGCCACUUAGGGGCAACUGGAACAAACGGUGGAGCGGUGAAAUGCGUAGAUAUCGUUUGGAACGCCUAUGG
rnacentral:rRNA from 1 species